AACGAACGCUGGCGGCAUGCCUAACACAUGCAAGUCGAACGAGACCUUCGGGUUUUGUGGCGCACGGGUGCGUAACGCGUGGGAACUUGCCCUUCGGUUCUUAAUCACUUCCCGAAAGGGGUUCUAAUAACGUCUACUGUCUUCGGACCAAGGAUUUAUCGCCUUUGGAUGGGCCCGCGUUGGGUUAGCUUGUUGGUAGGGUAAACGCCUACCAAGGCUACGAUCCAUAGCUGGUCGGAGAGGAUGAUCAGCCACACUGGGACUGAGACACGGCCUAGUUUCCUACGGGAGGAAGUAGUGUGGAAUAUUGUUUUUUUGGUGAUUGUCGAGUCGAGCAAUGCCGCGUGCGUGAUGAAUGGAGUGGAGUUGUAAAAUCUCUUUUCACGGGAUGAUAAUGACAGUACCGGGAGAAUAAGCUCCGGCUAACGCCGUG
rnacentral:rRNA from 1 species